rnacentral:RNase_P_RNA from 3 species
CCAGCCGGCCGGGCGACCGCUUCCGUUCAAUGUCGAAAGACGGCGGGAGAGGAAAGUCCGGGCUCCAUGGAGAAACGGUGCCGGGUAACGCCCGGCGGGGGCGACCCCAGGGAAAGUGCCACAGAAAUGAAACCGCCCCGCCUGUAGUGCGGCUGAAUCGCCGGGAUUGUCCGGUGCUGGAGCCGCAGUGCUGGCGGGGUAAGGGUGAAACGGUGGGGUAAGAGCCCACCGCGCGACUGGCAACAGGAGCGGCACGGCAAACCCCACCGGGAGCAAGACCGAAUAGGAAUGACGUGGCGGCCGCGAGGUCGUCAGCCUUCUCCAGGCCAGUCGUUCGGGUGGGUUGCUUGAGGCGCCGCGCAAGCGGCGUCCCAGAGGAAUGGUCGCCGGUCAGCCGCAAGGCUGUCCCACAGAACCCGGCUUAUAGGCCGGCUGGCAUC